rnacentral:rRNA from 1 species
CGGCAAUAGCUCAAAUUUGAAAUCUGGCCUUCUGGCCCGAAUUGUAAUUUGUAGAGGAUGCUUCGAACGUGGUCUGGUCUAAGUUCCUUGGAACAGGACGUCAUAGAGGGUGAGAAUCCCGU